rnacentral:rRNA from 1 species
AUUAUUAAAAUAUAAAAAAUAUUUUAGAUUAGUAGUAAAUAUGUUUAUGAAAUUAAAAUAAUUUGGCGGUAUUUUAGUCUAUUCAGAGGAAUUUGUUUUAUAAUCGAUAUCCCCCGUUAAAUCUUACUUAUUUUAUUUAAUUUGUAUAUCGUUGUCAUUAGAAUAUUUUAUAAGAAUAAUAAUUUUCUAAAAUUAUAUAAAAUUUUAUGUCAAAUCAAGGUGCAGUUUAUAUAUAAGUAAAAAUGAGUUAUAUUAAUAUUUAAUUAAAUGGAUUAAAAAUUGAAAUAUUUUUAUAAAGGUAGAUUUGAUAGUAAAUUUUAAAAGAGUAUAAAAUUGAUUAUAGCUCUAAAAUAUGUAC